UACGUAGGUGGCAAGCGUUGUCCGGAUUUAUUGGGCUUAAAGGGUGCGUAGGCGGCCUAUUAAGUCAGUGCUGAAAUAUCCCGGCUUAACCGGGAGGGUGGCAUUGAUACUGAUGGGCUUGAGUAAAGUUGAGGUAGGCGGAAUUGACGGUGUAGCGGUGAAAUGCUUAGAUAUCGUCAAGAACACCUAUUGCGAAGGCAGCUUACUAAGCUUUAACUGACGCUGAUGCACGAAAGUGUGGGGAUCAAACAGG
rnacentral:rRNA from 1 species